rnacentral:rRNA from 1 species
CAGCUAGUGGGAAUAUUGCACAAUGGGGGAAACCCUGAUGCAGCCAUGCCGCGUGUGUGAAGAAGGCCUUCGGGUUGUAAAGCACUUUCAGUAGGGAGGAAGGUAGUGUAGUUAACACCUUGCAUUAUUUGACGUUACCUACAGAAGAAGCACCGGCUAACUCCGUGCCAGCAGCCGCGGUAAUACGGAGGGUGCGAGCGUUAAUCGGAAUUACUGGGCGUAAAGCGCAUGCAGGCGGCCUGUUAAGUCAGAUGUGAAAGCCCGGGGCUUAACCUCGGAAUUGCAUUUGUAAACUGGCAGGCUAGAGUCUUGUAGAGGGGGUAGAAUUUCAGGUGUAGCGGUGAAAUUGCGUAGAGAUCUGAAGGAAUACCAGUGGCGAAGGCGGCCCCCUGGACAGAUACUGACGCUCAGAUGCGAAAGCGUGGGGAGCAAACAGGAUUAGAUACCCUGGUAG